AGAUUUGAAUGGGAAAAAGUAAUGGAAGAGGACAAGAUCAUUGGUCUCAAGCAGGGAAAGCAAAGCAUUUCACUGGAACCUGGUGGUCAAUUCGAGCUUAGUGGUGCACCUCUUGAGACUUUGCACCAAACUUGUGCUGAAGUCAAUUCACAUCUUUAUCAGGUAAAAGCUGUUGCUGAGGAAAUGGGAAUUGGUUUC